CGAAAAGCGAAGUGAAAACAUACGUAUUCUCCAUCUUUACGAAGUGCUCUCAUUGUCUAAUUAAUUAAUUACCUCCCAUCAAAGGAAUACAGGAGAAAUGAAUGUUUUUGAAAUUCAGGAAACUGUUGCUGAUCGGCAGAAAAACUACGAAAUUGAUGUUGUAUUCCUUGAACUGUAUGGGCUUGACGAGUUGCUAAUAUUAACAAGACGUACAUUCUGACUGGUAGAAGAAUUUGGUUGUGACUGCACUGGAACUACUGAUGUAGCGACAGAUUGUAAGUGUAAUUGUGAUUGGGA